rnacentral:rRNA from 1 species
CACGGGUGAGUAACACGUAUCCAACCUGCCGUCUACUCUUGGCCAGCCUUCUGAAAGGAAGAUUAAUCCAGGAUGGCAUCAUGAGUUCACAUGUCCGCAUGAUUAAAGGUAUUUUCCGGUAGACGAUGGGGAUGCGUUCCAUUAGAUAGUAGGCGGGGUAACGGCCCACCUAGUCUUCGAUGGAUAGGGGUUCUGAGAGGAAGGUCCCCCACAUUGGAACUGAGACACGGUCCAA